ACGGCUACCUCGAGCGAAGUUCGUGCAGACUUCACUACCGGUACACUACACUCCCGUCUCCACCUACCCGAAAGUACCGGUACGUGGAGUGUAGUGUACCGGUAGUGAAGUGGAGUGAAACCUGCACGAACUUCGCUCGAGGUAGCACACGGCGGGACGGGCAUCCCAUGCACAAUGACAAUACAAUGUAGGCCUAAGCUUAUAAAAUGCGAUUGACUCCAACAAUGUCGAAUGCGUGUACAAUGUAUACCGUACUGUGUGUGUCAUGUGUGUCUUGCCUGGUCUUGACCGAGUGUCCUGUACUCACGUACGUGUAGACUAUCUAGGCUAGUUUCACCAGUCUAGUAAUACGAGUUUCUUGCAGAGUUUCGCAGGAUUCAUGGUGAGGACCUAAUCACACUGUUCAACCAAGGACUACAAAGACUGGCAGAACCCCUUUCUGGACUUCACAAAGAUAGAUGCAAAUGAGCCAAGAAAGAUGUGACAGUUUACUUCCCGGAAGCUAAGAAGAAAUUGCCAUACAGAUUCUACCAACCUUUUUCAAGGAAGACCUGGUGAUAUAUUCAUCUCAAGUGACAAGGUUGAUACGAAGCCCAUGUACAUAUGUGUAUCCUGCAAUCAAGAGGAAUCAUAUGAGCUUGUUCUGGAGGAGCAAAGAGUCUGUCAAGUCCAGGAUAAAGUGCAUGCAUUGGCUUGUUAAGUAGCUGGUUUUUAUUUUUCAUUCAGCCUAUGGCUAUGAGCCAUCAGUCAUGAAAAUUCGUGAGUUUUGCCAACUUGGAAUUCUUCAGGUGAAAGAUGCAUGUCCUGUUGAUAAAUCUGUUAUCAACCUUCUGAACAUGUUGAAGAAGAAAGUGCCCUCCAAACAGGGAAGUAACUGAAGUCUGGCUGAAGUCAUGGAACAGCUGUUUUUAAGUCACACAGCAUGUCCUUUAUGUUAAAAUUGUUACAAGUUGAAAGAUUGUAAGUACAGUUGUAUUGAUAAAUUGUGAUUUUUUGAAAGAGAUUUGAAAAAGAAAGUUUAAAGUCACAUUCAGAGCACAGUAGAUGGAGAUGGCUCACACACUUGAUGAAGCAUAUUCUAUGGAAGCUCAAAAGUGCCACCGAGAUGUUGAGAAGUCGACAUCAUGGUAGCAAAAGAUCAAAUGACGAGAUCCUGGAUCUCAUCAUGUCCACAUCUUUCAGAAGAGAUGAUCAGCAGACAAGAUCCCGGAUCUC